UUAAAUUAUCCUACAACGGUACAUGUUUGAGUACACAUAGCCUACGGAAAGUAAAAAAAAAUCUACAUAAUUCAUCAGUGACAAAAUUAGAAACAGUUUCCUUGUACAUUUAAGUUGCCGCAAGCUGUAUCUGAAAGUCGCCAUAUUCCACAUUUAUGUGUUUAACAUUUUUUUUAAAUCAGCGAAUUUUAUACAAUGGAGCAGAGCAAUUUGCAAAUGGCUUUACGGUUAGCUGACAACUCUGAUACACAGCCGGCUUUACAAUUAGCUUCCAACCCUGACUCACAAUAUGAUCUACAGUCAGCUACGAACCCUAUGCCACAAGAUUCUCAGCAGACUCUUAUCACAGAGCCCAGAGUUGACACUGUAGCCUCAACCGAGCCAAAAAACGAUCUACUGUCUCUACCUAAUUUGAGUUCCAGUGUGGCCUGUUCAAGUCAUGAAGAUUACUUUCAAUGUAGCGAUGUCUUCUCUUGCUGUUGUUACCGAGGACUUCGCUGCUGUCAAGUCCAGGAAACGGAAGAGUUUUGUUGUGAUCUUUGUGCCUGCCUCUGCUGUUUGAUAGUAGACUGCAGCAAUUGCUGAGAGAAUAUACCACAGAAGUGAGACAAGUAAGCAAAAACAUU